CAAAAAAUGAGGCCUCUUACACACCUCUAGUCCAGUAAGUAUACUAGCAGAAAAGGCCUUUUAUGUGUGAAACUAAUACUUUUUUGGGCAUUUUUCUUUUUCAUAUAAUGGGCAUUUUUUUUUUAAUAAUUAAACUAACCUACUUACCACCUAGGUUUGAAACUUUUUAUUAUAAUUUUUGUUCAAAAUAAGUUAAGUGUUAAACAAAAAAGGCCUCAUUUUCAUUUUUGCCAAGGGCCUCCAAAAUCAAUGGACCAACAUAUCACGUGCGUGGUAUGAGAGGAACGAGAAAAAGAUUUCGUUUGUAGUAAUCUCUCUUCUCGUUCCUCUCAUACCACACUCAUACCUCUAUAAAAAACUUCUCGAACUCCCCAGUCUUCUUUGAUCUCUCAGCCAAAAAUUCACCACAUUUUUUUUUUCUGAUCUUGGUAUAUGUAAGUUCUCUAAAGAUUUGCAAUGUAUCAUCCUCUUUGGAGUAAGUUUCGGAAAGAUUUGCAGAAUUUUUUUCUUUAUUUUUUGUUAAACCUUGCUUGUAUACAAAAGAGAAAGGCCUCAUUUUAAUUUAUGUUUUUCGUCAUAAGGUGUGGACAUAUUCUUUUCCAAGCAUCUAUUCAAAGGUUUUAUUUUAUAUUUUGAUGUAGUGUGGUGUAAACUUGUAUACAUUAACACUGAAAUGAAAUUAUUGGCAAAAAGAAAAUGCGGCAUUGAAAGGAAGAAAUCAAUUAUGUUAUUAUAUUGAAUUAAAUACUUUUUCGUGAA